UCUUCGGAUUUAGAGACCGGCGCACGGGUGCGUAACGCGUAUGCAAUCUGCCUUUCACAGAGGGAUAGCCCAGAGAAAUUUGGAUUAAUACCUCAUAGUAUAGCAAAACCGCAUGGUUUUACUAUUAAAGUCACAACGGUGAAAGAUGAGCAUGCGUCCCAUUAGUUAGUUGGUAAGGUAACGGCUUACCAAGACUUCGAUGGGUAGGGGUCCUGAGAGGGAGAUCCCCCACACUGGUACUGAGACACGGACCAGACUCCUACGGGAGGCAGCAGUGAGGAAUAUUGGUCAAUGGGCGCAAGCCUGAACCAGCCAUGCCGCGUGCAGGAUGACGGUCCUAUGGAUUGUAAACUGCUUUUGUACGAGAAGAAACACUGCUUCGUGAAGCAGCUUGACGGUAUCGUAAGAAUAAGGAUCGGCUAACUCCGUGCCAGCAGCCGCGGUAAUACGGAGGAUCCAAGCGUUAUCCGGAAUCAUUGGGUUUAAAGGGUCCGUAGGCGGUCUUGUAAGUCAGUGGUGAAAGCCCAUCGCUCAACGAUGGAACGGCCAUUGAUACUGCAGGACUUGAAUUAUUAGGAAGUAACUAGAAUAUGUAGUGUAGCGGUGAAAUGCUUAGAGAUUACAUGGAAUACCAAUUGCGAAGGCAGGUUACUACUAAUGGAUUGACGCUGAUGGACGAAAGCGUGGGUAGCGAACAGGAUUAGAUACCCUGGUAGUCCACGCCGUAAACGAUGGAUACUAGCUGUUGGGAGCAAUUUCAGUGGCUAAGCGAAAGUGAUAAGUAUCCCACCUGGGGAGUACGAACGCAAGUUUGAAACUCAAAGGAAUUGACGGGGGCCCGCACAAGCGGUGGAGCAUGUGGUUUAAUUCGAUGAUACGCGAGGAACCUUACCAAGGCUUAAAUGCAGACUGACCGAUUUGGAAACAGAUCUUUCGCAAGACAGUUUACAAGGUGCUGCAUGGUUGUCGUCAGCUCGUGCCGUGAGGUGUCAGGUUAAGUCCUAUAACGAGCGCAACCCCUGUUGUUAGUUGCCAGCGAGUCAUGUCGGGAACUCUAACAAGACUGCCAGUGCAAACUGUGAGGAAGGUGGGGAUGACGUCAAAUCAUCACGGCCCUUACGCCUUGGGCUACACACGUGCUACAAUGGCCGGUACAGAGAGCAGCCACUGGGCGACCAGGAGCGAAUCUAUAAAGCCGGUCACAGUUCGGAUCGGAGUCUGCAACUCGACUCCGUGAAGCUGGAAUCGCUAGUAAUCGGAUAUCAGCCAUGAUCCGGUGAAUACGUUCCCGGGCCUUGUACACACCGCCCGUCAAGCCAUGGAAGCUGGGGGUGC
rnacentral:rRNA from 1 species